ensembl:snoRNA SNORA73 Small nucleolar RNA SNORA73 family
CCAAUGUGAAUAACCUGAGUGGUCUCUCUCCCUGGGUUCUGUCCACGUGCCUCAGGGGAGCACAGGGCUCGGCCCCACGAAGCACAGUCCCUUUCCGCAAUGUUGAGGAUGAAGCUAGGCCUGUGAGUCUGUGCCUACCUAUUCCUCUGACUCUCACAGUCCUAUGGAUGAUGACUGAGGAGACAGACCAUGCAGGAGACAAUG